AACACAGGUGCUGCAUGGCUGUCGUCAGCUCGUGUCGUGAGAUGUUGGGUUAAGUCCCGCAACGAGCGCAACCCUUGUCAUUAGUUGCUACGAAAGGGCACUCUAAUGAGACUGCCGGUGAUAAGCCGGAGGAAGGUGGGGAUGACGUCAAGUCCUCAUGGCCCUUAUAGGUGGGGCUACACACGUCAUACAAUGGCUGGUACAAAGGGUUGCCAACCCGCGAGGGGGAGCUAAUCCCAUAAAGCCAGUCGUAGUCCGGAUCGCAGUCUGCAACUCGACUGCGUGAAGUCGGAAUCGCUAGUAAUCGUGGAUCAGAAUGUCACGGUGAAUACGUUCCCGGGUCUUGUACACACCGCCCGUCACACCAUGGGAGCGGGUUCUGCCAGAAGUAGUUAGCCUAACCGCAAGGAGGGCGAUUACCACGGCAGGGUUCGUGACUGGGGUGAAGUCGUAACAAGGUAGCCGUAUCGGAAGG
rnacentral:rRNA from 1 species